UGUCUCUCACUGUCUUUAUUGGAGGAC
rnacentral:piRNA from 1 species